AUUGUUUAUUUUGACAUGGCUGCGGCAACAUAACUAGCAAAAUAGAAGAAACAAGUCACCAACUUGAGCUUCAACAACCUGAAAUCACUAUAACAACAAAAUGAUCACUCUGGCAUCACUCACUUAGGCCCUGAUACAUUCAACUGCUUCCAAACAUGAAAUGUUCCUACAUGACAAGCUUUGCAUUUGAAUACACAAGUAGAACUAGGAGAACUCAGCAACUAAACUACGCGACCGCUAGUCUGUGAAUCUAGCCAGCACUGAUCAUAGCACAAAGUGCCU
rnacentral:misc_RNA from 1 species